UACUUACAAAUUAUGAAGCACCAUGUACAAGGUACUUAAAGCUAUUUAAAUUGCAACUUCUCCAAAAUUUUAAGACACCUGAGGGGUAAAUUAGGGUUUUCACCCAUUGAAUUGAAUGGGAUGGCCUGCAAAUGAAGCGUCUCACCAUCACACCAACAUACCGUUAUAAAUCUCUCCUGUCCAUUUGCAUAUUCAGAGAAGACAGAACGAACCAGAGAAGACAGAGAGAGCAGUGCCGUUUCUAAAUCACAACCUUCAUGGAUUCGAUCCUUUUCUUGAUGGAAGGAGGAAUUUAUUCACUCCGGCAUCAUAGUUGUCGCACCGACUGUCAUAGGGUUCGGAUAUUUUGGCGGACCAUCACUGCAUCGAUGCCCUAGCAGCAUCAUAGUUUCUCCGUCAUUCUUCAAUCUUAAAAAUUCAUCCAUAAAUUCCCAUUAUUCUGUCUCAAUUAGCCAUAAUCAGCCCCAAUAAUCUGAUACAAUGAACAAUAUACAGGCUACAAACCCUAGCUUUUGAAUUUCAAAAGUCUGUUACGCAACCUACAAAAGGGCAGACGAUUGAUACAUCAUCUUUAUGUAUUUUUUAUUUCAGGUCAAUCAACCCGACCGACCGACCUGGAUGCAAUGGGUGCCCUUAUAUAUGUAGACAACAGGCUGAAUGCAAUGGGUGUGGGGGUUGCCGGUCAAUUUUGUAGAUCUGAUUUUGUCUCUUUUUUGUGUUGUUUGCAGGUUUAAUUGAGUUAGUAUUGGUGUUGAUUUUGAGUUUGUUUGUUAGAAUGAUGGUGCCAGGAAAUUUCCGGUCAAUUUUACCGGAUUCUGAUGAGAAUAGGUACUUAUUAUGUAUAAUUGAGCAUUUCAUUUAAUCUUUGAAACAUAUUUGUUGAAAUAGACACAUUCUAAAAGGUCCCAAUUUGCUGCAUAGAAAUCUUAAAAAGAUUACGUCUCUGUGCCAGUUUUCAUUUAAAUUGCCUUUUGCUUCUGUAUUAUCUGUGUUUGGUGUUUUGCAUAAUGGAACAAGAAAUUAGAGCAAGUUUUAUGGUCACAAAGUUUGAGGUCGCGAAAAAUUCUGUACAAUCAAAAAUUAUGUUGUUUGUUUAAAUGUGUUUAAUGAUUUUCAAAACAAAGAGAAAUCCAUCUCAGUUUGGAUUUGGGAAAUGCCAAAGUUGACCGAUGUUUACCUCUCUAACAAGUCAAGCCGCUUAUGAACUACUCGAGAUCGGCUCGCUAAAAGCUCGAUUCGAGUAGAGUUUAAACGAGCUAGAGCCUAAAAAUAAGUUUGUUUUGUAAAACAACCGCAGCCCGAGCUUCACUUACCUAGAUCGAGCUGGCUCACCAUUAUAUUAUUUAUAGAUUUUUUUUACUGGCAACGUUUGGUCCUACUCAAUUACUCAAAUAAUCCUAAAUUAAUCUUCCUUGCCCAGGUUUGAACGGGGACCUCACCUCUAUGAGGCAUAAGCCUCUACCAAGUGGGCUAGCCCCACAUUGGCAUAUAAUUUUUAUUUAGCAUAUUAAAUUUAAAUACAAAGUCAUAUAAUAAUUAUUGUUAUAUAAAAUUUAUAACAUCAAAUAAAUAGAUAGUUAACAAGGUGAGCCCAAUCCAAGCUCGAGCUCUAGAAAUAGAGAUUAAUACAAGCUCGAGCGUAAAAUCCUGUGCAAAUACGUUGAAGAACUCGCCCCAGAGGUAACUAUCUCGUUUAUCCUACUCUGAUGCAUCACUAACAUUUUUCCACUGUUCCAUUAAUGAUGUUUUAACCAUUUCUUUGAUAAGUAGUAUGAAAAGGCUGCAUCAUUGCUGAGCACUCAUGGUCCUCUAAUUGUUCUUGCAAAAAUGGAUGGUAGUGCGGAAGAGAAUAAAGAAGUUGCUGAUCAGUUCGAGUUUCUAGCUGCUUGUAGACAACCUCGGGUUUUCUGUAUUAUCACCGAGUACCUUUCAGAAGGUUCAUUAAGGGCGUACUUGCAUAAGCUUUAGGAUAAUACGAGAAAAGAGAGAACAUCUUCCGUUAGAAAAGCUUAACUUACCGUUGGAUGGCUCCCGAGAUGAUUAAACGGAAAUCCUACGGCCGAAAAGUUGAUGUGUACGGAUUUGGGCUCAUUUUAUGGGAGAUGGUGGCCGGGACUAUCCCAUAUAAAGAUAUGACUCCGAUACAAGUUGCAUUUGCCGUAGUUCAUAAGGUGAACCUGAACACGGCACGAGUAUUCUCGGGUUGACACAACCACGACCCAUUUAACCCGAUUUUUUUUAUGUUGUGCAUAAUUGCUCUAAAAUCACAAUCUCUUAUAAUUUUUAAAUGUUGCCGCAAAAUAGCCAACCUUCAGUUAGGACAUAAGAAACACUAUUCAGAAAAUAUAAACGGGUUACAAGAGUCAACCCCUGAACCUGCAGGUCAACCAAAUCCGGUCCGUUUCCAGAUUAUUACAACUUCAAAUUACAGAAGAUCUAAUAAGCAUGAUCUACAUUCGCGUUUUCAGAAUCUACGACCGACUAUUCCAAAUAACUGUCCUCCAGCAAUGAGAGCAUUAAUCGAGCAAUGUUGGUCAUCACACCCCGAGAAAAGGCCCGAUUUCGGGCAGCUGGUAAAGGUGAUAGAGGAGUUUGAAACAUUAGUCGCUCGCGAAGGAAAUUUGGAUCUUUUACAGUACCCGACAUGUUUAGAUCAUAAAAAGGGCCUUCGACAUUGGAUUCAAAAACUCAGCUCUCAUCAUCAUGCCUAAACCGAGGUUUUCAUGAAACUUUUUGCAAUGUAAUUAAACCGCGGAGUGUUUGUUUUUGUCCUCUGUUUUCAAUUUCUUAUAUGAAUGUUUAGUUUUUACCGGUACAUUGAUGUGAAUGAUUGCUUACAGAAAACCCGAAACAUAUUGAUUCGGUCAUAUUAUAACGGUGAAUAUGAUUCUGGAGAUUGGAUUAUGGUAUUUA